rnacentral:rRNA from 1 species
AAAAAAGGUAAGCUACUAAGAGCGAAUGGUGGAUGCCUUGACUGGUAAAGGCGAUGAAGGACGUACUAGACUGCGAUAAGCUACGGGGAGCUGUCAAGAAGCUUUGAUCCGUAGAUUUCCGAAUGGGGCAACCCAAUGUAUAGAGAUAUACAUUACCUAUAUAGGAGCGAACGAGGGGAAUUGAAACAUCUUAGUACCCUCAGGAAAAGAAAUCAAUAGAGAUUGCGUCAGUAGCGGCGAGCGAAAGCGCAAGAGGGCAAACCCAGUGCUUGCACUGGGGGUUGUAGGACUGCAAUGUGCAAGAGGUGAGUUUAGCAGAACAUUCUGGAAAGUAUAGCCAUAGAGGGUGAUAGUCCCGUAUGCGAAAAACAAACCUUAGCUAGCAGUAUCCUGAGUAGGGCGGGACACGAGAAAUCCUGUCUGAAGCUGGGUCGACCACGAUCCAACCCUAAAUACUAAUACCAGAUCGAUAGUGCACAAGUACCGUGAGGGAAAGGUGAAAAGAACUGAGGUGAUCAGAGUGAAAUAGAACCUGAAACCAUUUGCUUACAAUCAUUCAGAGCCCUAUGUAGCAAUACAGGGUGAUGGACUGCCUUUUGCAUAAUGAGCCUGCGAGUUGUGGUGUCUGGCAAGGUUAAGCAAACGCGAAGCCGUAGCGAAAGCGAGUCUGAAUAGGGCGCUUAGUCAGAUGCUGCAGACCCGAAACGAAGUGAUCUAUCCAUGAGCAAGUUGAAGCUAGUGUAAGAACUAGUGGAGGACUGAACCCAUAGGCGUUGAAAAGCCCCGGGAUGACUUGUGGAUAGGGGUGAAAGGCCAAUCAAACUUCGUGAUAGCUGGUUCUCUCCGAAAUAUAUUUAGGUAUAGCGUUGUGUCGUAAUAUAAGGGGGUAGAGCACUGAAUGGGCUAGGGCAUACACCAAUGUACCAAACCCUAUCAAACUCCGAAUACCUUAUAUGUAAUCACAGCAGUCAGGCGGCGAGUGAUAAAAUCCGUCGUCAAGAGGGAAACAACCCAGACUACCAGCUAAGGUCCCUAAAUCUUACUUAAGUGGAAAACGAUGUGAAGUUACUUAAACAACCAGGAGGUUGGCUUAGAAGCAGCCAUCCUUUAAAGAAAGCGUAAUAGCUCACUGGUCUAGUGAUUUUGCGCGGAAAAUAUAACGGGGCUAAAGUAAGUACCGAAGCUGUAGACUUGCGCACAACUUAGAUUAUUUAAGUUUAGAAUAUGAGAAACUAAGUUAUAUGUUUAGUUAUAUUUUUACUGAUUUUUAUAGAGUAAAGAUAGAAAUAAAACUUAGUAAAAUCAGUAAAAAUAUUCUUAGACUAAAGUUAAGUAGUUUAAGUUGUGUGCAAGUGGUAGGAGAGCGUUCUAUUUGCGUCGAAGGUAUACCGGUAAGGAGUGCUGGAGCGAAUAGAAGUGAGCAUGCAGGCAUGAGUAGCGAUAAUUAAUGUGAGAAUCAUUAACGCCGUAAACCCAAGGUUUCCUACGCGAUGCUCGUCAUCGUAGGGUUAGUCGGGUCCUAAGUCGAGUCCGAAAGGGGUAGACGAUGGCAAAUUGGUUAAUAUUCCAAUACCAACAUUAGUGUGCGAUGGAAGGACGCUUAGGGCUAAGGGGGCUAGCGGAUGGAAGUGCUAGUCUAAGGUCGUAGGAGGUUAUACAGGCAAAUCCGUAUAACAAUACUCCGAGAACUGAAAGGCUUUUUGAAGUCUUCGGAUGGAUAGAAGAACCCCUGAUGCCAUCGAGCCAAGAAAAGUUUCUAAGUUUAGCUAAUGUUGCCCGUACCGUAAACCGACACAGGUGGGUGGGAUGAGUAUUCUAAGGCGCGUGGAAGAACUCUCUUUAAGGAACUCUGCAAAAUAGCACCGUAUCUUCGGUAUAAGGUGUGGUUCGCUUCGUAUUAGGAUUUACUCCGAAAGCGAAGAAACUUACAACAAAGAGUCCCUCCCGACUGUUUACCAAAAACACAGCACUCUGCUAACUCGUAAGAGGAUGUAUAGGGUGUGACGCCUGCCCGGUGCUCGAAGGUUAAUUGAUGGGGUUAGCAUUAGCGAAGCUCUUGAUCGAAGCCCGAGUAAACGGCGGCCGUAACUAUAACGGUCCUAAGGUAGCGAAAUUCCUUGUCGGUUAAAUACCGACCUGCAUGAAUGGCGUAACGAGAUGGGAGCUGUCUCAAAGAGGGAUCCAGUGAAAUUGUAGUGGAGGUGAAAAUUCCUCCUACCCGCGGC